GCUGUCUAGUUGCUUCUGGUAAUUUAUCGUCGAUUCGAUUUUGUUCUAUCAUCCAUGUUCGUCACAAAAUGUUAAGUUAAUUUUGAUAAGGUGUCUUACAUAUUUUAUAUAUCGGGCAAUAAUGGUAUAAGUUAUACCGAAAGUUUGAAAAUCUUAUAUUAGGUAAAUGGGAUAAAGGGGUAAUAUUGACCCGACUUUGACAAAACCACACAUUAUUAACAUGCCUCACAACAUGACACAUAUUAAUAAAAAAGCUUCCAUUAUAGGCACAAACAUACUGUUAUUGUCGAAACACGCAGGUAUAUGGGGGCUUAGUGAAGUAUUGACCAGAUUCAACCCACUUCUGACUUACAAACAUACAAUUAUCAUGAAAGGACUCUCUCCAAAUUUCAACUUUAUCGAUAUUUAGGGUAAAAAGUCAGCCGUAGGCUUGGUGUCCUCAUAUUCGGUAUAUGGGGGCUGGAACAAUUAUGGCCCGAUUUCGUCAAUGUUUAGUCCUGAGAUGAUAUAUUCUAAAGGCAAUAUUUUUGCAAAGUUUAAUUCCGAUAUGUUCACUAGUGCUUGGUUUGUAAACAGGAAAGUGAUGACAAAAUCGGAUGGAAUAUGGGAAGUAGGCGUGGUUGGUGGUAUUUCGUUAAAUUUUCGCACCGUGAUACAGGAGUAUCAAGAUUAUAUAUAGGUCCCGAUAUAUGUUAGUGGUAGACGAUGCCACGCCCAGCGGCCAAUGUCGACACCGGAUCCUAUAAAGCCCAUUUGUAUCAUCCUAGAAGUAAAAUUUAAUGUCUCUGACGCACGUAUUUAUUAAUUUGUCGCACAUUUUUGUAGUUUUAUUUAUUUUAUAUUUUGUAAUUAUUAUCCGAUUUCACCUAUUUUCACAUUGUCGUAAGAAGUGUCGUAUAAAAUUGUCAUGUGGAAAUUCUGGUGAUAUUGCUUGAACUGUUUGGCAGAUUUUCACAGUAAACUUAUUAGGGGCGAGGCCAGGACCACUUUUUUUUUAUAGAUUUUCAAACCACAUUAGCCGCUCCUUACUGCGAUUCGUUGUUCCAAGUAUUGUAUUAUAUCUUAAUUUGCGGCUUAGUUAUAGCAAUUUAUAAGUUUCCGAUUGAUGGCGGUUUCUGGGCGUAGCAGUGGUCCGAUUACGCUUAUCUACAAUACCGAACUUCUUAUGGUGGCAAGGAACAUGUCUAUUAAGUUUCAUCGCGAUAUUUUAAUUUUUACCUAGGUUACAGCUUGCGCGGACGGUCGGAUAGACAUACAGUCAGUUUGACCUCGUCUCGUCAUUUUCAUCAUAUAUUAUAUAUAUGUAUAUACAUAAACCGCUUUAUUAAUCUAAGAUUAUUUUUAGGGGAUACACACAACCGUUAUGUGAACAAAACUGUAGCAACAUGUUGCAAGACUAUAAAACUGAAAUGAAAAAUAAAAAAGGUUAUUAAUCCUGGUUGGUCCAACAUCGGGGGUCCUCAGUUUUUUCGCAUAGAACUCUUUUUUGUGUUGGCGGAUUUCGGCAAAAAAUAUCUCUAAUUGAUCUAACGCCGGUCUUUAUCAAGAGAGGAAUUCUGAAAGAUUUUGCGUUACCCAAGAUUAUGAAUUUUGUAUUAACAGAAUAACUAUUGUUUUUUUAGUUAUUUUUUUCGUUUACAAAAUAUGAAUGCAUAUUUUGCAUGCAACCAUUUUGUUAUUUUAUGAAUAAAUGGGUUUAAACAAAAGUUAAGUAUUGAAUUAAAACUAUUUUUGCACUAUUCAAUACAAAACAACCCUACAAGACGGUGGUAAUUAAUUUACUACAUAAUCACACUUAACUUUUUGUUGUUAAAUGAAAAAUUAUGCUGUAAAAGUAUCAACUAUUUAUCAUGCAAAAUUUUUGAAUGCAAAAGAAAGAGAUGCACACAUAGACAAAGAAUCUGUCAAAAAUUGCAGCCAUUGAAUCUACCAUUGGAAGAGCAUCAGGAAACCAACAAACGAAUACCAUUGUGAUAUAAAUCGUUCUACGUUUUUUUGAAUUUUAUUUUGAUUGGAUUGCAGUUGAAUUCAAAUAAUUUAAGUCGCGUAGUUUUUAGCAUACCAUCUGUCAUCGCGAUAGAUCAAAAAUACGUAAGUGGCCGAUUUCAAUGCAACACGCAUUUCGCCAUGGGAGCCGCGUAUCAAAUUGAAAUAUUCCCUGUGUGGGGCAUAGAGGUUGUGCGUAAAUUGGUUGAAAAGGAAAUGAAUGCUGUGCACCAGUUCUACGACUUGUACGUGAACUACCGUAAUUUGGCCUUGUUAUGUGAGGUAUCAAGACAAUAAUUUUGAUUAAUCAAAUUGAAGAAAUUGUGCAUCAUUUUCAUACCACCGUUGCCAAAUACACAAAUUUCUGGACGGUACGAAGAAAAAUUUUUGGAGCAUCGACCGUCAGACACAACACCGCUAUCGGAAAGUAUUCGGCGGUCGGGGGUAUUGGGCAACUAGUUUCCAGCUUAAAUUGGUCUGGAUACAAUCCUCAGACCAUUCUCUGUAAUACGACAAUGAAGUUAGUUAUAUAUGCAUUUGUAGUUUUUAUUUCAGAGCGGUCCUCAACAGUUUUGCUGACAUUAUCUCAACAGACCAGGGUGCAAUGCCCAAAUGACAUACAUAUGUGAAUCGUCGCAGCAAUGUUAUUUCCUAUGCUGUAAUGACUGUAAUGUAGUAUGACAUGGCGCAGUUUUGUGAUUAAGGGACCAAAUCAUAUUUUUUAUGUAUAUAUAUUUAUAAUAAAUUGUUAAUAAGAUUGUAUUGUUAAAUGUACUUAACUUGUUUAAGUACACAUUUUAAGUGUUAAUAUUUAUAAUUAACCUAUAUAUUGUAUAACAUAAAUAUAUGUUUACAUUUUAGGUAUUAAUUAAUUUUAAUGAUUAGUUUAACUACAAUAAAAACGCUUUUUCAAUAAAAUAAAAUAAAAUAAUAUAAAAA